GGGGCUGUUUGGUUUUGACAGCGGGUAGAAGUGGUUUGUAAGCAUGCAGUGCGUUGUCGAAUAGCACUUUAAUCAUAGACGGCAAAAUUUAACUGGCGAAGAAAACACUUACGCUAUGGCUGCCUAAUCGAAGUAUAGUAGAUUGAUGGCUUAAUCGCGGCACAAGGUGCUGCGACCAUACAUCGCUCAAAAGCUACGCUCCGAAGCGUUUGACAAAGCGGUGUAGGAAAAUCGGAGAUAACUGCGGCAAGCCUCGUUGCGGCAGCGAAAAUUUAGAGGAUAAGGGUGCGAUUGGUGGCUUCGGUCUUGUCACACCACGAAAAUAAAGGCGAAGAUAAGCAUGUAGAAAGCAGGUUAAUUCCUCGUUUGGACACGGGUUCGACUCCCGUCAGCUCCACUU
rnacentral:tmRNA from 1 species